CCCCUGCGUAUUUGACUCAGCCUCGCUCACCCGCUAGCUUCUCUUAGUAACGAUACACUCUAAUCAGAUUCAGUCGAUUACUCCCUCUCUCGCUCUCUCUCUCUCUCUCUCUCUCUCUCUCUCUCUCUCUCUCUCUCUCUCUCUCUCUCCACCGCGAGUUCUCUCCCCCUCGGUCGUGACUCUCUUCACUCUUCAGCCUCCAUCUCUCUCUCUCUCCUUGUUCUGAAAUCGAUUGAUACUUUUAAUUUUGAAAUUGGAUGGUGCCCAGAAGUCUAUAUAUAGAAUCUAUGGCUCGGAGCCAACAGUCUCAGAGUCAGAGCCCAAGUGCCAAAGCUCCGACCUUUAUCUUCCACAAUCUACCUCAACCUCCCGACCGCGUAACUGGGCUCGAAGGAGAACAACCCAUCCUGUGUUAGGGUUUCAAGAACCCUAGAAUUAAGUUAAGGAAAUCUGGGGUUGAUUGAGUUUGAAUUUUUAGGGCUCAAAGUUGAUUGAAUAUUAUUAGGAUUUUAAUUAUGAUUUUGGUUUCUGACAGGGUUCAUUGGAGGUUUCGGCGACAGAGAUGAAGAGAUGGACGCCCGGUGACUUUGAUAUUGGAAAGCCUCUGGGACAUCGAAAGUUUAGUCAUGUCUAUUUGGCAAGAGAGAAGAGGGUGUCAUGGAUACCUAUCUACCUCUUAAUAAAUUGGCUAUGCAUUUGGUUAAUCAGAAUGACAAGCAUUGAACCUUUUGUGAGCUGUUGCACUUUGACUUGCCACAAGCCCUGGAAGACAAGUAUAAAGGCUACAUGAAUCGCAGAUUUGUGACAAGGGAGAUUGGCCAGACGGGUUGGAGAAACUGAUGGUCUAUAUAAAGCAAAAAUAUCAAAACCCAAAAAUCUAUAUUGCUGAAAAUGGUUUGAUUUCUUAAACUUCAGCUAAGCCCCGUUUAUACUAAAAAAUUAUCCUAACAUGAUUUUUUUAUAUCUUAUCCGUGUCUUUUCGAUCAAUGUAAGAUUUCCUCUUUCCAGGAAGGACAACUUACCACUUCCUGAACAGAGGACUUAGAUCGAAUCUCCUAUAUUGUUUCUUUUUAGACAGUAGUUGUUUUUUGCUUGGGCAGAUGAGUUUCAAUUUUACUGGCAAGUUGUUUAUUCUGCAGUUUGAGUUGCUGCAGUGUCAUUGUUUAUGGUCAACCAAAAAAUGGCUAAGAGCUGGGGUCUCGGCACAGUAUUGCUCACUCUUGUGGUUAAAAUUUGGUUGGACAUGAAUUGCAAGUUGUACUUUGAACUGAUACAUAAGAAGUACAUUGUAGUAGGAGACCUCUUUGUAGUUUUUUGUAUGUUUUGGCAAUCUAUGAGAAUGAUGUGCUACUAAAUGACAUUUGGAACUUAUUUGUAUCAACAUUUUCAUAUUUGCCUAUUUCCAGGAA